AUCUUACUCCCUCCAUCAAAUAAAAGAUGUCUUAAGUUUGUCAGAAUUUGGAUGUAUUUAGAUAUGACUUAGUGUAUAGAUGCAUUCAAAUUUAGUCAAAGUUGAGACAUCCAUUGUUGGAUGGGUGGAGUAUAUU
rnacentral:pre_miRNA from 1 species